rnacentral:rRNA from 1 species
AUUGAACGCUAGCGGGAUGCCUUACACAUGCAAGUCGAACGGCAGCACGGACUUCGGUCUGGUGGCGAGUGGCGAACGGGUGAGUAAUGUAUCGGAACGUGCCCAGUAGCGGGGGAUAACUACGCGAAAGCGUAGCUAAUACCGCAUACGCCCUACGGGGGAAAGCAGGGGAUCGUAAGACCUUGCACUAUUGGAGCGGCCGAUAUCGGAUUAGCUCGUUGGUGAGGUAAUGGCUCACCAAGGCGACGAUCCGUAGCUGGUUUGAGAGGACGACCAACCACACUGGGAAUGAGACACGGCCCAGACUCCUACGGGAGGCAGCAGUGGGGAAUUUUGGACAAUGGGGGAAACCCUGAUCCAACCAUCCCGCGUGUGCGAUGAAGGCCUUCGGGUUGUAAAGCACUUUUGGCAGGAAAGAAAUGGCGUGUGUUAAUACCAUGCGCAGAUGACGGUACCUGCAGAAUAAGCACCGGCUAACUACGUGCCAGCCGCCGCCGUAAUAC